rnacentral:tRNA from 1 species
GGAGAGGUGUCCGAGCGGCUGAAGGAGCACGGCUGGAAUCCGUGUUGUCGGGGUAACCCGGCACGGGGGUUCGAAUCCCCCCCUCUCCG